GUAGACCUGGCGUGUAGUUCAUGAUGAAGCUGUUCCUUUCUUUGACUCUUAUCUGGUCUUUCUCCAGCACAGCUGGAGCACUUGUGUGUCAGACUUGCACAGAUGACGAUUGUACAAGCACAGUGCCGCUAACAUGUGCCACGGAGACGAUGUGUAUAACUGCUGCCAUUAAAGCGGUUUCAUCUGGAACUCCUGGAACCCAAAUCUUCAAAGCAUGUGCAUCGUCCUCCCUGUGUCCAGUCACAAGCUCCCAGACAUUUUCUGUUAACUUGGGUGUUUCAAGUGCACUUGCAUCUGCUACGUGCUGCGAC